AUUGAACGCUGGCGGCAGGCCUAACACAUGCAAGUCGAACGAGCGGCGGACGGGUGAGUAAUGUCUGGGGAACUGCCUGAUGGAGGGGGAUAACUACUGGAAACGGUAGCUAAUACCGCAUACUAUCGGAUGUGCCCAGAUGGGAUUAGCUAGUAGGUGGGGUAAAGGCUCACCUAGGCGACGAUCCCUAGCUGGUCUGAGAGGAUGAUCAGCCACACUGGGACUGAGACACGGCCCAGACUCCUACGGGAGGCAGCAGUGGGGAAUAUUGCACAAUGGGCGCAAGCCUGAUGCAGCCAUGCCGCGUGUAUGAAGAAGGCCUUAGGGUUGUAAAGCACUUUCAGCGAGGAGGCGUUACUCGCAGAAGAAGCACCGGCUAACUCCGUGCCAGCAGCCGCGGUAAUAC
rnacentral:rRNA from 1 species